AACGAACGCUGGCGGCGUGGAUAAGACAUGCAAGUCGAACGGGACAGUUCUGGUAGUAAUAUUAGGAUUGUUCAGUGGCGAACGGGUGCGUAACACGUGGACAACAUUCCGGGAAGCGGGGGAUAGCCCAGGGAAACUUGGAUUAAUACCGCAUGUGGAUAAGUGAGGCAUCUCACGAAGUCUAAAGGUGGGGACCGUAAGGCCUGCCACUUCCCGAUUGGUCCGCGGCCUAUCAGCUAGUUGGUGAGGUAAAGGCUCACCAAGGCUACGACGGGUAGCUGGUCUUAGAGGACGACCAGCCACACUGGGACUGAGACACGGCCCAGACACCUACGGGUGGCAGCAGUCGAGAAUCUUUCACAAUGGGGGAAACCCUGAUGGAGCGACGCCGCGUGGAGGAUAA
rnacentral:rRNA from 1 species